rnacentral:rRNA from 1 species
GUCGAACGCUGGCGGCGUGCUUAAUACAUGCAAGUCGAACGCAGUGGGGACGGGUGAGUAACACGUGGGUAACCUCCCCAUCAGAGGGGAUAACACUUGGAUACUGGUGCUAAACCGAUACUGAUGGCUGUACCCGCGGUGCAUUAGCUAGUUGGUGGGGUAACGGCUCACCAAGUCCACGAUGCAUAGCCGGCCUGAGAGGGUGAUCGGCCACACUGGGACUGAGACACGGCCCAGACUCCUACGGGAGGCAGCAGUAGGGAAUCUUCGGCAAUGGACGAAAGUCUGACCGAGCAACGCCGCGUGAGUGAAGAAGGUUUUCGGAUCGUAAAGCUCUUUUGUUAGAGAAGCGGUAUCUAACCAGAAAGCCACGGCUAACUACGUGCCAGCAGCCGCGGUAAUAC